UCCACAGUAGCUCAGUGGUAGAGCUAUCGGCUGUUAACCGAUCGGUCGUAGGUUCGAGUCCCACCUGUGGAGCCA
rnacentral:tRNA from 1 species